GACGAACGCUGGCGGCGUGUCUAAUACAUGCAAGUAGAACGCAGUUGCGAACGGGUGAGUAACGCGUAGGUAACUGCCUCAUAGCGGGGGAUAACUAUUGGAAACGAUAGCUAAUACCGCCUACUGUGAGAUGGACCUGCGUUGUAUUAGCUAGUUGGUGGGGUAAAGGGUCACCAAGGCGACGAUACAUAGCCGACCUGGGAGGGUUAACGGCCAAAAUGGGACUGGGACACGGCCCAGACUCCCACGGGAGGCAGCAGGAGGGAAUCUUCGGCAAUGGACGGAAGUCUGACCGAGCAACGGCGCGGGAGUGAAGAAGGGUUUCGGGUCGUAAAGCUCUGUUGUUAGAGAAGCGGUAACUACCCAGAAAGCGACGGCUAACUACGUGCCAGCAGCCGCGGUAAUUC
rnacentral:rRNA from 1 species